rnacentral:rRNA from 1 species
GAGCGGUAUUGUUUCUUCGGAAACGAGAGAGCGGCGCACGGGUGCGGAACACGUGUGCAACCUGCCUUUAUCUGGGGGAUAGCCUUUCGAAAGGAAGAUUAAUACCCCAUAAUAUUUUGAAUGGCAUCAUUUAAAAUUGAAAACUCCGGUGGAUAGAGAUGGGCACGCGCAAGAUUAGAUAGUUGGUAGGGUAACGGCCUACCAAGUCAGUGAUCUUUAGGGGGCCUGAGAGGGUGAUCCCCCACACUGGUACUGAGACACGGACCAGACUCCUACGGGAGGCAGCAGUGAGGAAUAUUGGACAAUGGGUGAGAGCCUGAUCCAGCCAUCCCGCGUGAAGGACGACGGCCCUAUGGGUUGUAAACUUCUUUUGUACAGGGAUAAACCUUUCCACGUGUGGAAAGCUGAAGGUACUGUACGAAUAAGUACCGGCUAACUCCGUG